rnacentral:lncRNA from 1 species
GGAUACAAAACUCUUCUGAUUCCGCCAAAAAGUGACAUAUUCUGACUGGCUUGUGGCAGCCAAGCGUUCAUAGCGACGUUGCUUUUUAAUCCUUCGAUGUUGGCUCUUCCUAUUAUUGUGAAGCAGAAUUAACCAAGUGUUGGAUUGUUCACCCACCAAUAGGGAACGUGAGCUGGGUUUAGACCGUCGUGAGACAGGUUAGUUUUACCC